UACGUAGGGUGCGAGCGUUAAUCGGAAUUACUGGGCGUAAAGCGUGCGCAGGCGGUUUGUUAAGACAGAUGUGAAAUCCCCGGGCUUAACCUGGGAACUGCGUUUGUUACUGGCAAGCUAGAGUGUGUCAGAGGGAGGUAGAAUUCCACGUGUAGCAGUGAAAUGCGUAGAUAUGUGGAGGAAUACCGAUGGCGAAGGCAGCCCCCUGGGAUAACACUGACGCUCAUGCACGAAAGCGUGGGGAGCAAACAGG
rnacentral:rRNA from 1 species